rnacentral:rRNA from 1 species
GAUGAACGCUGGCGGCGUGCCUAACACAUGCAAGUCGAGCGGCAGCGCGGGGUGCUUGCACCCUGUCGGCGAGCGGCGGACGGCUGAGUAGCGCGUGGGAACGUGCCCCAAAGUGAGGAAUAACUGCCCGAAAGGGUAGCUAAUACCGCAUAUUAUCUUCGGAUCAAAGGAUUUAUCCGCUUUGGGAGCGGCUCGCGUCGGAUUAGGUAGUUGGUGAGGUAAUGGCUCACCAAGCCGACGAUCCGUAGCUGGUCUGAGAGGAUGACCAGCCAGACUGGAACUGAGACACGGUCCAGACUCCUACGGGAGGCAGCAGUGAGGAAUCUUCCACAAUGGGCGAAAGCCUGAUGGAGCAACGCCGCGUGCAGGACGAAGGCCUUCGGGUUGUAAACUGCUUUUAUAAGUGAGGAAUAUGACGGUAACUUAUGAAUAAGGAUCGGCUAACUACGUG